rnacentral:rRNA from 1 species
GACGAACGCUGGCGGCGUGCUUAACACAUGCAAGUCGUACGGUAAGGCCCUUUCGGGGGUACACGAGUGGCGAACGGGUGAGUAACACGUGAGUAACCUGCCCACAACUUUGGGAUAACGCUAGGAAACUGGUGCUAAUACUGGAUAUGUGCUCCUGCUGCAUGGUGGGGGUUGGAAAGCUCCGGCGGUUGUGGAUGGACUCGCGGCCUAUCAGCUUGUUGGUGGGGUAGUGGCCUACCAAGGCGGCGACGGGGAGCCGGCCUGAGAGGGUGACCGGCCACAUUGGGGCUGGGAUACGGCCCAGACUCCUACGGGGGGCAGCAGUGGGGAAUAUUGCACAAUGGGCGCAAGCCUGAUGCAGCAACGCCGCGUGCGGGAUGACGGCCUUCGGGUUGUAAACCGCUUUCAGCAGGGACGAAGCUUUUUGUGACGGUACCUGCAGAAGAAGCACCGGCUAACUACGUG